ACAACAACAAACCAGAUUUUUUUUUGCAGCUGCAGGUCUGGUGCUGUGCUUAUUUAAUUCGUCUUCGUUAAGUGAAAAUUCUAAUAAAUUGUCUCGAAAGUGAGAACUGCAAGGAAGACAUAUUAUUUGGCUUAUUCGGUUAUUUGAGGUUCUUAGAAAUAUCCCUGAAACGCCGCCAGUAUCCAAAGAUGCUCCCAUUUACUGCAUUGAUCAUCAGGCAAGGACGACGCUAUAAUACAGAACGCCGAAAAAACGACCGGGCUCGCGACCGAGCGGGACAUGGAAUCAUGGAAUCGGAAGAUAAUAUGUAGUUCCGGUACCCAUUUGUGUCCGACGAAAACAUCAUCGUGCAUUGUAUAAAGAACUACUCUGCGAACCCCGACGAAUGCAUGGAUUUUUCCAGCCGCCUUGGCGAAUGAGAGCUUGCACUAUUUAAUAAAGAAAUAAUUAAAAUAAUAAAAUUCAUAAACUUCA